rnacentral:lncRNA from 1 species
GAAACUGGAGAGAGACAGUAAACUACUAGUAAUACUUAAAAUUUUCUUCUCUCCUUUUAGUAGCUUGUUUAUCCACCAGCUUCUUCAGCUCUCUUUUCUUGCCUAGUAAAUCUUGUUUUUGAUCAAAAAUUCAUUUUUUUGAGCUAAAAAUUCAGAAUUCUGAAACCCCAUUUCAUAUUUCAGCUUCUUAUCUGGUUUAUAAUUGGUUCUGUUUCUUUCUUGGUUGACUCUAUAUCAUUAGCUUGUUGGUUUAGUAGAAUGGUAUACAGAGUUCAAACAUAUUUUUGAGCUUGUGAGGAAUACUAGUAGUCGAGAGUCUCUCUGCCCUUCCUGAAUAGGGGUAAGGUUGUGUUCUAUCUUGCCCUCCGCAGAUUCCACUUCUGAGAAUUAACUGGGUUGUUGUUGUUGUUGCGAGGAAUAGUCUUG